AGAAACCUCCUUGAGGCAGCUGGGCGUAGGAAAUCUUCCACACCUGCCCUGGUACAUUUGGUCCUGCCACGCCAGACCAAGACCAGCUCUGGUGAUGCUGGUACAGGGCAUAAGUGAGAGAGGAAAUGUGAGCUGUGGAAGUAAAUAGGACACGAACUUCACCAGCAAAUCCUCAUCAGGUGCCGGUACAGGAAUCUGAGCAGAGAGACUCCAGUCCCUUCCAGUCAGGUGCUGUCAUGGGCUGCAGGCUCCUCUACUGGGUGGUCCUUUGUCUCCUGGGGGCAGUCCCCAUGGACACUGGAAUUACCCAGACCCCCAAACACCUGGUAACAGGGCCUGGGAGGAGAGUGACCCUCAACUGUGAACAACAUCUGGGACAUGAUGCUGUGUACUGGUAUCAGCAGAGGGCUCAGAAGCCACCGAAGCUCAUGUUUGCCUACAGAUAUAAGGAACUCAUUGAGAAUGAGCCUGCCUCCGGUCGCUUCUCACCUGAGUGCCCAGACAGCUCCAGGCUCUACCUUCACGUGGACGCCCUGGAGCCUGAUGACUCUGCCUUGUAUCUCUGUGCUAGCAGCAGGGACACAGCCCCACACAGCCAACCUCUCCCCGUGCACAAACAUCCUGGGUCUAGCAGGGGGGCCCUUGGGCAACCAAAACUAGCUCAACAUCUCCUGUAGGGCCCCAGACAGAGAUCCCAGAACCUCAUGCAACCUCAUGCAACCUGUGCCCAGCGCAGACACCCACAGCCUGGGGCCUGGCUCAGCCUUCUUCCAGUCUGUGCCCAGCUGCAUGCAAGCCAGAGGGUCCAGCUCCAGUUGCUCCAAGCAGCCUCCAGGAGGCACAUGGCCCUGGGGAAUGUUUCAGGGGCCACUUUACACUCUGGACACAGCAGUGCUGCCAUGACCCCUGCCCACAGGCACCUUCCUCUGACUAUUCCUUCCACCCCAGUGAGACCCUGGACCUCAGCCCCUGUCCCAGCUCCAAACAGGCUGAGCCCUUUUCCAGAACACCUCCUCCCCUCACCACCCAGCUCAGUCAGUUCCUACCUCUGAGGACAAUUGUUUCCUCCCCAGGGUUGGGUCAUUCUUUCCAAGUCAUUGUCUGCUACAUGUCCCAGGACUGAGCUCCACAAGAGCUUCUCUUCCUCUCAGCUGUGACGCCUUCAGGCCUAAUUCCUUUUUCUUCUGUCACUCUCAUCCUAAUUCUUCAGGUCUUCACAUCCUGCAUUAUCAGCCACAGAGUCCUCUGCCCCAGGAUUGUUGCUCACAACAGGCAAUAAGACUGGAAGGGCCCCUGACAUUUCAGAGCAGGACUGCAUCCUUGGGGCUGUCCUUGCCGAACCCCAGGAUUUCUGGCAUUGCCCCUUGCCAUGGUCCUCCAUCCUGCACAGGCUAGCAGACACCAUGGGCUGAGCAGACCCCUGUGUCCUGGGGAGUCAGAUGCCUGCACUGACACAGAGGCUCCCUCCUCUCUCCUGUAGGGGGCGCCCCAGUGGGUGUAGCAGGAAUCCAUGGGGUGCAGAGGCCUGAGCUAGGAGAACACUCAUUCCUGCCCUGACUCUGCCAUGGAUUCCAGGCUCUUGGGAGAUUUUUAGUCUUUGGUAAGCAGUUGAAAUCUUAGAAAUUUCUCAUCUUGGACUUACCUGAGGCUCUUCUAAACCAUUUCCUUAUUCAAUCUCUGGCUUCUUUCUCCUUCUACAGGACACACAGAACCUGAAGUCAAACAGACUCCCAGCCACCUGGUCACAGAGAGGUGGAUGAGAGUUAUCCUGACGUGUGACCCCAUCUCUGGUCACUUAUACCUCCAUUGGUAGAGACAGAUGCUGGGGCAGAAAGUGGAGUUUCUUAUUUUAUCCUACAAGGAUACUCUCUUGAGAAGUCUAAACACUCAGAGAUCAGUUCUCAGCUGGAAGGUCUGAUGGAUCAUUCUCCACUCUGUAGAGCCAGCCCAGAGAUGAUCUGUGUUUGAAUGCUAGAUAUUGUAAGUGAAAAAUGUUAGAGAUAAGAUGACGGCUCUGGAUGAUGUAUUAUCUUAUAGAGAUAGUUCCUUUUUGCUUAUACUACGACAUCUUGGUGGGGGCAAGUCUUCUGAAUCUGUUUGAAAAAUGAGUUGGAUUUCAACCAAGCUUCAGUUUUGUGGAUGGCUGUUCACCUUUGCUCCUAGUAUGUGAUCACUUAGGUUCCAAAUGAAACGUCUGGAGUAUUUUUACUUUACUGAAGUGUAAUCUGCAUGAAAUAGUACCCAUUUCAAGUGUACAACUCUUGGAGUUUAAAUAUACUUAGGUACUACUCAACUAUCACCACGAUCCAGUUUUCUUUGUAAAGCUUCCCUUAUAAGCUGAGAGGGACCUUGAGGUAAGUACUUGGGAACUGCAUGCAUAAGCCCCACUAAUCCAGCCAUCAUCUAGGGGUCUCCCUGGUUAGCAUCAUACAAUCUAAACAUGGAGAGAGACUUGGAAAUUAUUUAUUUCAGCCCAUUGUUUUAGAUGAACAAGUGGGAAGUCAUAUAGGGUAGUUUUUAACUGUGUUACUACUGAUUAUAUCCUCACUUCUAUAUCUUUUAUAUUUAAUAUGCCUAGAGCAGUCUGUGAUAUUCUUUUUGUUCCUAUCAGAAUACAAGCGUCAUGAGCAUGAGAAUAUUGCCUUCCCUGUGCUUUGCACUAAAUAACUAUUCAAUGAGAGCAAAUAAGUAAAGCGUGUUAGAGUUCCUGGAAGGAUGGUGGUUGUUUCUGUUUGGUUCACUACUGUGUCUCA